rnacentral:rRNA from 1 species
AACGAACGCUGGCGGCAUGCCUAACACAUGCAAGUCGAACGAGAACUUCGGGUCUAGUGGCGCACGGGUGCGUAACGCGUGGGAACCUGCCCCUAGGUUCGGAAUAACUCCCCGAAAGGGGUGCUAAUACCGGAUAAUGUCUUCGGACCAAAGAUUUAUCGCCUUUGGAUGGGCCCGCGUUUGAUUAGCUAGUUGGUAGGGUAAAAGCCUACCCAGGCGACGAUCCAUAGCUGGUCUGAGAGGAUGAUCAGCCACACUGGGACGGAGACACGGCCCAGACUCCUACGGGAGGCAGCAGUGGGGAAUAUUGGACAAUGGGCGAAAGCCUGAUCCAGCAAUGCCGCGUGAGUGAUGAAGGCCUUAGGGUUGUAAAGCUCUUUUACCCGGGAUGAUAAUGACAGUACCGGGAGAAUAAGCUCCGGCUAACUCCGUG